UGCAGCACCCAUUCGUCACCCAACUACCACCUAAGAAGAUCGUCAGGGCUGAGAUAGAAGAACAUCUCCGGACUCUGCAGAACUUGCCGGCCAAGAAAGGACUGAAGGGAGUUGCUCUCUCAAAGCUGCGGCGUGCUUGUGACUUCUGCACACAGACAUCGGCAGAACAAGAAGCAGCUCUGCAAAUGGCCCUGGAAGGCUUCUCCUGUUAUUGAUAUUGUGGCCAAUAACAACAGCCCAGAAUGAGUUUCCUAAAUCACAGCCAAGGAAAAAGAAACAUCCACAGGAUCCAGUGGCAUUUGCAGCUCCACCAGCAACAUCUCCUUUCAAGCUGAUGAAGUUCAGCAAGUGGUAACUUCAAGAUUCCUGCAACUACACCAGCAGGGACUUUAUCUCCUCCUGUAGCUCCAUGAUCAUAUUCUUUUCAGACUACCACAUCUCCACCAGUGGUGUCUUUGCUUCAUUUUACCUCAC